UAAGGAACAAGGUGGUUGGUGCAUGUUGUAUCCGCUGUCGUUGGUGUUGCUGAGGAAAAUUUGUUGUGUUGUGAAUGUGUGAAGAAGCAUUGGUUAUUUAAUUUGGAAGAAAAAGUGUAAUGAGCAUGUUGUCGUUCCUUUUAGUGAAAUCACACAUUUCUUAAUAGUGAAGCUGCAAACCACAGAUAGGAAAGAAGGCAAAAAAGCUGUUAGAUGUCAUUAUCAAAGGCUUAAAAAGGUGUGGGUAGAAGAGAUGGCAAUCGAGAGUUACCUCUCUAUCAUCCAUGACCUUAAUUAUAUCUCACCACUACCACAGCGUAGCGUAGCGUAGCAUAGCAUAGCGUACCAUCCAUCUCUAGACUCAUUAAACAACUUGGAAGAGCUUGUGAGUAUAUAUCACUGAGGAGAAAGUUGAUGAGUUGGUUGAACUUGAGUUGGGGUUCGUAACAAAACACACAUUUGUUUGUGUUUGUGGGGCUAAAAAACGACCAAAACAACUUUAAUCUCUUGUCUGACCACACUCUGCCUCGCUUUGCAGAAGCAUCAGCAAGCUCUCAUAGGCCACACAGGUUUUGGUAUUUUUGGGAUCAGCAGCAGUGGCAGAAGCAGAACACUCUCCGUAGCUGCUGAUGAAGGCUCAACAAGUAACCAGUUUUAGGAGUGUCAGGAACUAAACAGAACCAAAGCGUACUACAGUACUACCAUGCGAAGUACCGACCUCAACAAAAACCUACAAGAAAUCCAUUACGAGUGUAAAAGGAAAGGAAUCUGAAUCUCGGGCUGUAGACACGAGAAUCAAAAAGGGAGAGGACGUAUUUUGAGCGUAUAAAGUAGGGGUGUCAAUUGUCUUCAUCAGGUUGUGGAAACUUCAAAGGGGAGUAGCUAUGCAGAAGACAGAGUAGAGAAGCUGAGGAAUGGGGAUGAAGAGCACUGGGGGAGAGAUUGUUCAGGUCCAAGGAGGGCACAUUGUUCGGUCCACAGGUAGAAAAGAUAGGCACAGUAAGGUUUACACUGCAAAGGGUCCUCGUGAUCGCAGGGUUAGGCUCUCAGCGCACACAGCAAUUCAGUUCUACGAUGUUCAGGAUCGUUUAGGGUAUGACAGACCGAGCAAGGCCGUGGACUGGCUCAUAAAGAAGGCCAAGAAUGCCAUUGACAAGCUCGCUGAGCUUCCUCCGUGGCACCCUACUGCCAACGCUGCAGAUGCAGAGAACAACCAUACCAAUGCAGGGUCUAGUGACAUGGCCAUUGCAGAACAAUCAGAGUCUUCUGGUUACAAUUUUCAGCUGCAACGGCAAUUAGGUGAGGACCAUGAUAACCACCAUUCGGUUUUCAUCCCUGCACCUAUUGACACUGAUGCAAUAGCCUUCUUUCCCACAACCACUGCCACCUCCUCCAUCAAUUUCCCAACCUACCCUCCUGACAUAAUCUCAAGAACCAACAACUCCACUGAGGAUCUUGGCCUUUCUCUCCACUCCUUCCAAGACCCUGGCCUGAUUCAUGGCCAGUCCCAAGCAGAUGCAAACCAAACACAAACACCUUCCAAUCACCAAGCCCUCUUUUCUGGCUCAACUCAAGUGGGGUUUGAAGCCAAUUACCCCAGGAUUCUGACUUGGAACAAUGAUGCAGGCACGGAUAUGAACAGAACUGGGUUCAUGGUCAACUCAUCAGCGCUUCUAGGCCAAGGUGUUUCUGCUGCAUAUUCCCAAAGGGGGACCCUUCAGUCCAGUUUCUCACCAUCACUUCGUCCUUGGAGUGACAUUCCCAUGGCUUCUUCCUCAGAACAUCACAAGUCACAGCCAAUUCAACAGGCUUCCAUCUUUGGCAGCAGGUUUCUGUCUGAUGCAUUGCCAGGGUUCUGCAUCCCAGCUAGAAUUCAAGGCGAGGAUGGGAGCCACGGUGUAGGUCCCGACAAGACAUCAUCUUCUUCUCCUAAUUCUCAUCAUCGAACACAAACGUGAACUGCCCAAUGCUGCACCGUUCCUUAUUUAUCAAGUACUUUGCUGAUUAUCCAUUUCUCUUUUCUUGGACAGUUAUGGUAAACAUUCAGAGAAAGAAAAAGGAAAGGGAGCAUUGUAUACCAGACUUGAGAAAACGUGGGAAGAUUAAGAUGGAAACGUUUUGAAUGAUCUACACAAGUUGUCUGGUUGGGUUCAGCUUUUUUAUGGCUUUCAUUCCCCUCCUUAUUGGAGCCAUCACGUUGGUGCUUUAUAUAUCUUUUGACAAAAAAGAUAUUUAUGUAUUAUGCAUUAUUUCUACGUGACACUUUGCUGAAUUUAUAUCACUUUAAGUUGGAUUUCCUGGUUUGUAACUGAUAUGGCCUCGUUAAUGUCAAGAAUAGCAUAGUUCAUCUGAUAUAAAGUGAACAGAAGAGGUUUAUGUCGAUUUUUGGUGAACCCCACUUCAAGAAAAACUUAAAUCGAGUAUGGUUUUGAUGCAGUAA